UACGUAGGGUGCAAGCGUUAAUCGGAAUUACUGGGCGUAAAGCGUGCGCAGGCGGUUUUGCAAGACAGAUGUGAAAUCCCCGGGCUCAACCUGGGAAUUGCAUUUGUGACUGCACGGCUAGAGUGUGUCAGAGGGGGGUAGAAUUCCACGUGUAACAGUGAAAUGCGUAGAGAUGUGGAGGAAUACCGAUGGCGAAGGCAGCCCCCUGGGAUAACACUGACGCUCAUGCACGAAAGCGUGGGGAGCAAACAGG
rnacentral:rRNA from 1 species